GUUGUUACCAUUGUUGUUUUUCUUUUUCCUGCUUGUCUUCCUGUUCACUACAAUUAAUAAGGAAUUUUUUACUUUGUGACUUCUGGUUCUGGCUAUCUGCUCUUGUAUCACAGACAACUAAUAUGAAUUUUUUUUCAGUUGCAGUGCAAUAAAUUAUUAUUGUAAAUGUUCUCCCCACACCUCUUUUGCUCCAAGAGGCCAAUGGAUAGCUGGAAAUGGUUCAGAACUGUAUAAGCCUGUUGCCACUAAAUUGGAGGUGGACAUUUGCCCACAAUAUCAAACCAUUUUUAUGGUGAUGCUUUAUGAAUACACCUACUUUGUUUUGGAAGUUAUGUAUAAAUGUAUAUCUAUAUGUCUAUGUAUCUAUUAUCUAU
ensembl:lincRNA